GUUUAAUUUCAUAUUUUAGAUAAUUUAGGAUUUUUAAUUAUUGGGAUUUUUAAUUAAAAAAAGAAGAGAAAGAGAGACUAAGGAUAUAAUAAAACAAAGAGGGAAAAAUGAUUUUUUAAAGUAGGUCUAGCACUUGGGCUGCACCCUUCAAGACCUCAGCCCAAAUACUUCCCUCUACCGGUUCAGCCAAACAAAAAUGACCCGGACCCGCCUAUUUGACCCACCCAUCUUCCCCACUAUAUAACAUCCUUAUGUUUUUUCCCCAAAAUUCGAACCCUAAAUCUGAAACCACAGAAACGGAGCCCUUGUCUAUUGUUCAUCUUCUUCCUCUUCGACACAGCCCUCAACUCGCCUGGAACUCAGGCAAGUUCACUCAAAUGGGACCCUUUCCCUCCACGUCAUUUGAUUCCCAACGAUUUUUGUCAGAGAGGAACGAAUAUUCGCUCCAAUUUUGCAUGAUUUCUAUACAAAUGGAAUAAUUUGCUAGAUGAAUGGGAGCCGUGGAUAGAUGUAAAUCGAUCCACGCCUUCUAUUUGUCCCAAAAAUCAUUCAAAAAUGUGAAGAUUUUCGGAUUUUUUGGGUAGAACCUUGGAGAUUUUUGAAGGUUAUAUAUAUGAGGUAAGUUUCUUUGCAUAAAAAAGGGGGAAGAAAAAUCAGAGAUUAAAAAAAUCUAGGAAAAAUCUUUUAGGGUUCUUGAAGUUGUCAUUUUUUGUUCAAGCCGUUUUUGUUAGUCUGUUUUCUCUUCAGUAAAACAUUAAAAAAAAAAAGAAGCAAUGGUUUGAUUUCAUUUUUCAUUCCAGUUUACUUUAUUUUUUUUUCAAGUGAAAAAAUCAAAGAAAAAUCACCCAAAAAAAGUGUUGAUUUGGGUUCAAGCUCGUCGAUUCCUGUUUUCUUGCUGAUGUUCGUUUCAAGUUUUAGGUCGUAUUUUGGUUCGAAGUCAGCUUAAUUUGUUGUAAUCGCUGAAGUUUUGUCAAUUGAAAGGUCCAAUUUCAGGUUCAUUCUUCGUCCUUUUUCUCCUAUCAUUAGAUGAUUCUAUGCAAUGAUUGCUUUCUUUGAGUUUAUGAGUAAUGUAUUUCAAGUGCUAAAAAAUGUAAAUUUUUGUGUUUCGACGAAACGAGCAAGUCUGUUUAUUCCUUUCUUGAGAUUGACCUAUUUUUUUGAGCCAAAUUUGUGACUUUCUGUAGAUGGCUCCUUAUUCUUCUGAAGUUCUUAUUGUUGCCUAGUUGUCUUGAGGUGUCCAUAUUUUCUAGUAAACUCUUGUUGUGUUUUCUGAAGAGGAACUAAAUUUUAUGUUAGAUUGUAAAUUCAAUUUAAUUUUUCUGGCCUAAUUUUCGAGUGCUGGAAGUAAAACUGUGGUGCAUAUAAUUUAAGAAGACAGAUAUAUCUUUGAAAAUAAACUGAAUGUAUAUUUUUUUUAAAUCAAGUUCAUGACUAACACACCCAUGUUGGGUGUUUUAAUCUACAUGUAUAUACAUUUAAGCACAAUCGAACUUUGUUGGACAUCUUUGUUAAUGUAAUUGGAGAAGAGAAAGAAGACUUUCUACUGCUUGAAUACUCCGAUCCCGAAUUUCUUUUGAAAGCAUAUAGUCAUUUUAGGGUAUCACUUAGUACUUUUUUUUUAAAGAAUUUCAAUUGUGUUUCAGUUAAUGCAACGUAAAUUUUGCAAGCAAAUCUCAAUUGUUAAGCCCGCAAACGUGGGCCAACAUUCAUCUAGUUGCUUCAGAAUUGCUUAAAUGUUUAGAAAUUGGACUCCUCCCUUUUAUUUGAUGUUUGAACUGUAAAAAUACAAUGUAGUGGUUGGAACACAACCUUUAAAAUGAUGUUAUCAUGCUCAUAAAUGUUAUUAGUGCACCUAAUUAUUAACCCAUGUUUAAUUAAGAGAAGGAUGUAUGCUAUUUUCUAGUUAAUACUUUGGAUUUAAUUAUUCAUGCCUUAAUUAGUAGUAUAGAGAUAUUAAUCCCAAGACAAUGGAGGCGUAUAGAAUUAGUUGAAUGCAAUUGUGGAAGUUUGGUUGUUAAUGUGAUGGUGAUACAGUUGGUUUGGUUUUGUACCAUUGUUGUCAUACUGGAAAGCGAAGAGAUGGCUUUAAUUUUGGAAGAAACGUGUGCAUAUGUAGGUAACACAGUUGGGCCAAUUUUAAAACCCCUUUUAAUGUUGGCCCGUUGAUUGCUUGUGCUAUGCAUAACCAUGUCAAUUACAACAAUAGUUAAGUGAUAAUACUUCCCCACCAUAACUCCAUACCAUACAACAUUCGCAAUAAUCUCUAAUUAGCUUUAGAAAAAUAAUUCAUGAACUCCAUAGCUUGCUUUAGGCACGUAGUUAGAUUAUUACAACUACGUGUACAGUUCCUGUAAUGUGAUUGUAAUAAUUAAUUUUAAAUAAAAUUAAAAUAAGAGUACCUUUAGUUUGCCUUUAAAAUAUAUAUAACCCUUUUUCUUAAAAUAAUUUGAGGUGUGUCAUGCCUUAAAUCUAUAACACAUGGCCCUCGCAAAUUAAGAUCAAGAACUAAUUUUUCUUAAAAUAAUUUGGGGUGUGCCAUACACAAAUAAAAAUCGUUUAAUUUAUGACCCUCAUAUAAAUAUAAAAUUAGUAUAGAAAUUACCUUGAACUUUGGUAGUCUACUUAGGCGCGUUAAUUAAAUAAUUGUCAUAGCUACGGGUACGGUUCCCGUGACGUAGUUGUGAUGCCUAAUUACUACAAUUCGGGGGUACAUUUAUGUGACCCGUCCACAAUUUAAUUUUUAAAAAUUAAACAUAUUGUUGAUCGUUGAUACGGUUCCCGUGACAUGAUUCACUAUAUGUAACAAUAAUUAAAUAAAAGUGGUUAUAAGGUAAAAAAUGCACAAGAGAUUAAAACAUGUAAUAAAUCGAAUAAUAGGACAAUUUUAAUAAUUUAAGCGACUGUGUUAGAACCACGGAACCCGGGAAGGCCUAACACCUUCUCCCGGGUUAACAAAAUUCCUUAUCUAGAAUUUUUGUUUCGCGGACUUAUAAAGUAAAGUCGAAAUUUCCUUGAUUUGGGAUUUUAUAAGAAACAAGUGACUUGGGACACCAAAAUAAUUAUCCCAAGUGGCGACUUUAAAAAAAUAAAUUAAUUAAUUCCAUUUCGAAUAAUAUCACUUUAAUUGGAAAAACUCCAUUAUAUACCCUCGGGGUGUAAAAAAGGAGGUGUGACAGCUCUGGCGACUCUGCUGGGGCGAAGAACCCAGAACUUUUGGUUCAGGGUUCAGAAUUCGAGCUUGGAAUAACUGUUAUAUUUUGGCUUUAUUCAUUAUCUGAUUUUUGCAUAUUUGAGCCUGAUGUGCUAAAUGCCGCUUUGAUAUUAUUUGAAUUGUAUAUGAACUGUUACGAAACCCUUCUCUUCUCAUCUUCGGGGAUGUGCACGCUGGCGUGACUCCUCUUUCUGUUAGUGUCAUACCUUGAGGUAAGAAAGAGGCUCAGACAAGUUACAAAGCCGGAUGGCCUUUUGGUUCCCGGUAUGUAUCCCCCCCUUGGCUCGAGUUGACCGCUCGGAUACACAAGUCUAGAACAAUAUACACAGGUUUUUUAAACUUAGAAUAACUCAGCAUCAUGUCGGAUCCCUAGUAGUAACGUUUGUUUGCAUCAUGUGCAUUUGACUUUGGGAACUCAACACAGGGGUUGGGUCCGUCUAGGACAGGUGGACCCCAGAAUCAAAGACCAUCCCGAUGCAUAUUUUACGUGCUAGUUGUACAAUUAUUUGCUUCGGUUUGCAUGUUGACCGGUUUCGAGAAUAGGUAAGGAAUUGGGAAAAAUAAAAUUGAGGUAUGAGAGAAUUGAUUACCCGUCUUUGAAAAAAAAAUCUCGUAUCCAAAAUAGGUCGAAACUCUGCUGAAAUUUUGAAAAAAAAAAGAGAAAAGAAUUUGGUUUCAAAAGUUUCAAGUCUUUCUCUAUUCUAUUUUGUCAAAACUGACCGAACUAUGCAAGUUUUAUUCUCACCGGAUGUGGGAUACGUAGGCAACCUUCACCGGGUCCAACUCCAUUUUUGCAAAAAUAACCCAAAAAAUGAAAUGUUGUUAUUCUAUCUUAAAUAAAAUUAGGUAAUGUCGUUCUUGUUUGAAUAGCCCAAAAUGUCCCCAAAAGGACGCCGGAAGAUUGUUUUUGCAAGAAUAAUCACCUACUUACCUUUUUCAAAUUUUUGGCUACCUAGCAAGCACCGCCCUAAAAUCUUCCUUUUCAAAGUGCCGAAGGGCCGUAUUUGCGGAAGUAGCCGUGUUAUUUAAAUUUUUAUAAAAUUGACCUCUUUUGUAAAAUUCGCUUUAUUUUUAAACCAAUUACCUUAAUUUAAAUGUGCAGAAUGAGCACGAGUUAAAAUUUGCCAAUGACGGUCAUGACCAAUAUUCCUUUGGAACUGUAUAUGUGGUGGGAAGAUCUGGGUGAAUCAAGACAUUAUGUGGUCAACCUUUACUUGGGGGGUCUCACCGGGUUAUUGAAGAUCAGGCCUUUGAGGAGACAUAAUAAAGGCACUGGUUACGUUUUGGGAUCCAACUCACAACGUGUUUCAUUUCUCGGAUUUUGAACUCACGCCCACUUUGGAAGAGAUAGCUAGGUAUAUUGGAGGCACUGAAGCUCUGAGACACAAGUAUUUGGUCGCUCCAAGAGUUGUCACUCCACACAAGUUUCUAGAUUUACUAAAGAUAAGCAGGGGGUCCAAUACCCAGAUUUGGCAGCUGGUUUUUCCACUCCCAGUUUAUAUACCAGCGAUACGGACAAGGACGGGGUUUCAACAAUCCAGAAAGCAGAAUUUGCAGAAAAGGGAAUCGACUAAAAUGAGAAGAACACAUGUAUUUUUGGGUCUUCUAGUGUUUCCCAGGAAAUAUGGGAAUAUCGAUGUACGGAUAGCUGGAAUCAUCAACACUUUGCUUACUCAAGCCAAAAGUAUCCUCGCACCCAUGAUAGUGUCUAAAAUCUUCCAACUCUCACAGCCUGUAAAGCUGGAGGAGACUUUUUAGAAGGGUGCAACUUGGUGCUACAAAUGUGGAUGAUUGAGCAUCUAUUUCAUCGUCCUUAGUACAUGAACUAUGGGUCGAUAGGAAAAAGCUGCAUAGGGGAGUUUUAUACAAGGGUCGACGUGUUUAACAUGCCAGAAGGGGUUGUAAAAUGGAUCUCUUGCCUCCGCUCCGUCACUGCGAAUAAAAUAGAAUGGACGUUGGGUUGGCUUCAUGUUGAUGAAAUCAUAUACAUACCAGCUAUAGGUCCUCAUUUCCUCCUGAUGGGUCUUAGAAGUAUCCAGCCUUAUGCCUCAUACCGGGUUUUGAGACAGCUAGGGAGAUGUCAAAUAGUGCCCAAGUAUGAAGACCUUAUCCUUCAUGUGGUCGAGAUCUGUUCUAAUGGCCAGUUGUACGAAAGAGUGGUCUGACAGCAAAUACCCGAGUGUGUGAUCUAUCCAGAGGUGAAGUCUGUCCCGGUUACCUCGCUUGGUACAAAAGGAAAGUUGAGAUUUGGAGGCCAGCUAAAAGACCCCACCUCCAAAAGUUUAUCGGAGCAUCACAAAAAUAAUGCGAGUGGUUGAUAAAAGAAAAUGAAUAUCGGGCCACCAUAAGCAGGUUAGAAGGACAGAUCAGAGACCUCAAGUUUGCUAGUGAUGUGCAAGCUACUACAGAUGAGGGUGAGAAGAAAAAAUUAGCCCAAGAAAAUGAAAUCCUUCGGGCCUAGAUCCAAAGGAUGAAGAUAGCUGCAGAGAAUCCGGAAAGAAGCCGAGCAAAUGAAAAACUCAUUCAUGGCCUUAAGAAGAAAAUAUGUGAGUGUAGGGGAUGAUCUAGAAAAAUUCGAAGGCAGUUUGGCAAGAGCUAGAGCACAGUUGGCAAAGAACGCCGAGGGACGGGUAGAGUUUGUUCGAUAACUAAAAAGGAAAUACGAGGGAGAAGUCACAAACUUGAAGAAAAAGCUAACCACCCUCGAGAAUGAGAUGGCCAAACAAGCCAAGAGCUUCAAAGUCGAGACAGAACAUUGCUACGCUUUGAUGGCACAGCUAGAGGGAGGCAUACAACAUUUGCAAGAACAGAAUCAUACUGCCACUCAAGUCUUGGAGGCUAGAUCUCAGCAGAUUGGGCGUUUGUUGCAAGAAAAGAGCAUCAUCAGGGAAAGGGUUAGAAGAAUGGCUGACUAUAUCGUGAUGAAAUGCAACGAAUGUGAGGACAUGACCAGGUCCAUGUUCUUCGCCACAGUGAUGAUCUUUGUCCGCCAGAUAAUGGAGGAUCUCUAUCGCCUCCAAGAUGACAUGGCACAUAGUCCCGCAACAAGACCAUUUUUUUUAUUGGUGGAAUGUUUGAAAGUUUAUCUCUGGUCCCAUUUGGGGGUAAUGUUUUGAAAAAUCUUACCACUAGUCCAUUUUGGGGUUUUUUUGUAUAAGAUAACCGGGUUGGAACUAAGUUUAUACUUAGUUUUAACCAAGUUAUUAUAAAGUUUUUGUCUAACUCUUAUAAUAAUUUUAUUUUGAGUUUCUAUUCUACUCUCUUAGCGGUUUACCCUUGUCUUAUAAUUAUAGGUUUGGGCUUUAGAUCCCACCUAUUUCAAUAUUUGGGUUUUUGUUUUACCCUUUGUUAUUUUAACUUUUGCAUUUAAAAAUGCUUCGUGACUCUUUUGAAUAAGCACGAAUCAUAAAAGAGGGCCCUUUUAUAUACGACACUUAAUGAAGAAUAUAUCUCAACUUCAUAAUAGUGUAAACAUACGAAAGAAGAAAUAGGGACACACACGUUUCUUUGAAUAACUUUGAGGAAAGUUUUGUAUCAUUCCAACUUUCAAAUUAUAACUUUACAUGUAUUUAAGUAUCAUCUAUGACUCUUUCAUAAAUGUUUUCUUUACAACAGAUUUGUAAAAAAUUCAAGGAUAUAUCUUGCAACCCAUAAAUAAAUAUUGCCUUUAACCUAAACAUUAGUAAGAUUUUGAAAUUUACAUCCACGAGUGUAUUCUUCAUAGGUUUUUGAGUCAGGCUUGCGUUUUUGGCUCGCGACUUUGCUCUGAACUUUCGAUUUGUUGGGUAGACUUUAAGCUUGACUUGAAUUCUGAUUGUUCCAGUCUUAUUUGCCUUCCUUAUAUAUUUAUAGUCCCCCAAGUGUUUGAGCUUUGAAGUAUGAAAUCUUGAGCACUUGAUUAUUCCUUGCAUGUGGUCCUUCCUGAAAAGGGAAAAACGUACGGGACUCGGAGGUAUAUAUAAUUUAGAUGAUGACUGCUUAACCUUUAUAUUUCCAUCAGAAAGGUUAUAACCCUAGACCAAGAAUUAUGUUACUUCCGCAUGUCUUUCAAGUCUAAUAUCAUCAUUUGGUGUGGGCUAGCCUUUUGCCUAUCAUCUAAAAUUGUUAGUAUAAUUUUAACUGUACAAAAUAAAAAAUUGUAAUUGAGCGAUACCUGACCGUGGGUAUUUCUUUUGCAUUGAAAUAGUACUUCUUCAAAUGAACGGCAUUCCAACUGGAGGGUAGAACCUUGCCAUCCAUGGUUUCUAACUUGUAGGCCACCUUUUCCAACGAUACCUUAAAUCUUGUAAGGUCCUUCCCAGUUUGGACUCAACUUUCCUACAUUGGUUGCUUUCGUUGAUUAAAAAACUUUCUUGAGUACAAAAUCCCCAAUCUUGAAGUAACUAAGAUGAGCUUUCUUAUUGUAAUAUUGCUCAAUAAUUUGCUUCUGAGCAACCAUCCUUAUCAAGGUUGUUUCACUUCUUUCUUCAAACAAAUCGAGAUUUAUUCGCAUCUCCUCCUCAUUUGACUCUUCGGUUGCUUGGGUGUAUCUCGUACUUUGUUCACCUAUCUGAAUUGGAAUUAAGUCUUCAGCACCGUACACAAGGGAAAACGGUGUCUCUCCCAUACUCGCUUUUGCUGUUGUUCUGUAAGCCCACAAACUCUAGGUAACACUACUGGUCGUUUACCUUUUGACUCCUCUAGCCUUUUCUUCAAGUUAUAAUAAUAACUUUGUUUGUUGAUUCAGCUUGUCCAUUGGCCACAUGAUGAUAAGGUGUUGAAGUAAUCCUUUUAAUUUUCCAACUCUGAAAGAAUUAUGUGAUUUUUGCACCUAUGAACUGAUCACACACGAUUUCUUUUGGAACCCCAACAGACAUAUAAUGUUUCACCAAAUGAAGUCCCUGACUUUUUUUUCUUGCACCUGCUUCUAUCCACUUAGUAAAAUAAUCAGUUAGUACUAAUAAAAAUCGUACCUUUCCUUUGGCUUGUGGUAGUGGACACACAAUAUCCAUCCCCCACUUCAUAAAAGGCCACAGUGCAACAACCGGAUGUAAUACCUCUGUUGGUCGGUGCAUGUUGUUACCAUAUCUUUGGCACUUGUCACAUUUGUCCACAAAACUUUCUGCCUCUUCUUCCAUUUUUGGCGAGUAAUAUCCUACUCUAAUUAGAGUUUUUACCAAGGAUCUUCCUCCUGCUUGAUUUACACAAUGUUCUUCAUGUACAUCUCUCAUCACAUACUCUAUUUGAGAAGGUCCGAGAUACUUUGCUAAAGGACCACAAAAUAUUUUUCGAUAUAAAUUUCCUCGAUCCAAACAAUAACGACCAGCUUUAUGUCGAAGUACUUGAGCCUUUUUCUUAUCUUUAGGUAGAAUUCCAUACUGCAAAAUAUUGACGAUAUCGUUUCUCCAAUCCCAGGUUAAAUUAAUGAAAUUUACCUCGUUUUUAUCUUGGUCGAGUGCCGAAUGAAACAAAUGUAUUAUGGAAGCAUUUUUUUCAUUUGUUACUUCUGCAGUGGAUGCAAGAUUAGCCAACGCGUCUACUUCAACAUUUUCUUCCCUAGUUAUUUGCACGAUUUUCCAUGAUUGGAAUUGCCUGAUCAAAUCUUGUGUCUUUUCCAAAUAAUGCUACAUCCUCGCCUCUCUAGAUAUAUAAGUCCCUUGCAUUUGAUUAACUACGAGCAUCGAGUCGCUUUUGAUUAUAAUCAGCUCUAUUCCGAGAUCUCGUGCCAAUUCUAAACCUGCAAUCACAACUUCAUAUUUUGCUUCAUUAUUAGUAAUAGGAUGGCAAUUUAUGGCUUGCCUUAUAGUUUCUCCAUGGUGGGAUUAGAACAUUGCCUAAACCCGCUCCUUUAACAUUCGAGGAGCCAUCGGUAAAUAGGGUCCAAGUACCUGGAUUAAACCCAUUAAAUAUCUGCUGUUCUUUUUCUGUUUCUGUUACCAUCCCUAAGCUAAAGUCUGCCACGAAAUCUGCUAAAACCUAUGAUUUUAUCGGAGUUUUAGGUUAAUAUGUGAUAUCAUAUUCACUUAGUUCUAUGGCCCAUUUGGCUAACCUACCUGAUAACUCUUGCUUAUGUAAUAUAUUUCGUAAGUGGUAGGCGGUCACUACAGAAAUAGGGUGACAUUGAAAAUAAGGCCUUAAUUUUCUAGAUGCAAUAAUUAGUGCUAAAGCAAGUUUUUCUAAAUGAGGAUAUUGAGUUUCAGCAUCUAGUAAGGACUUGCUAACAUAAUAAAUUGGAGAUUGUUUACCUUUAUCUUCCCGAACUAACACUGCACUUACCACCAUUUCUGAUACGGCGAGAUAGAUGAGUAGCCUUUCACCAUCCUUUGGUUUUGCUAGCAACUAUGGGUUCGGCAAGUAUGUUUUCAGAUUUUUGAACGCUUGUUGGCAUUCUUCAGUCCAUUCAAAUUGGCUGCUUUUUCAAUACUGAAAGAACUUAAAGCUUUUCUCUGAAGAUUUAGAAAUAAAUCUUCCCAAUGCUGCUAUCCUACCUGUCAACCUCUGCACUUCAUUUUUGUUCGUGAGUAUAUCCGGUAUUUCUUCAAUAUCAUUAAUCUGCACUGGAUUUACUUCUAUUCCCCGAUUAGAAACUAGGAAACCUAAAAACUUACCUAAAGACACGCCAAAUGCACACUUUUCAGGAUUUAACUUCAUAUUGAAUUUGCGAAGAAUUUGAAAAGUAUCUAACAAAUAUUGGGUGUGAUCCCCACCUGUGCUAACUUGAUUAACAUGUCAUCAAUGUAGACUUUCAUGUUUUUCCCAGAUGUUCAUGAAACAUCUUUGUUACUAAAGGGCAUGACUUUAUAACAGUAAGUCCCCCUGUCUGUAAUGAAAGAAGUUUUUUCCUCAUCUGAAGGAUCCAUUUUUAUCUGAUUAUAUCCAGAAUAAGCAUCUAAAAAACUCAAUAAUUUGUGCCCUGCAUUAGCAUCAAUUAGUUGAUCUAUGUGUGGUAAAGGAAAAGAAUCUUUCGGGUAAGCUUUAUUUAAGUCAGUAUAAUCUACACAAACUCGCCACUUACCAUUCUUUUUGGGUACCACUACAGUAUUUGCUAGCCAAAUAGAAUAUUUUACCUCACGGAUAGACCAAAUUUUUAAAAGUUUUUGUACCUCAUCCUGAAUCACCUGGUUUAUGAAGGAUUCUCCGGUGGUAUACCUGUCAUAUCUUAAUGCGACCAAGCAAAGCAAUCUGUGUUAGCUUUAAAAAAUUCAAUUAACUUACUUUUCAUCUCUGGCUGAGGUUGGUUCCGAUGUAAACUUUUUUGUCUGUCCAAUGUAUAAACAAUACCACUGCUUCGAGUUCCUCAUUUAUUGUUUUGAUGUUUUCAUUCUCAUCUGGAUAUCUAAUAGUAUCAGGCCUUGAGUCUAUAUCCAUUUGUCCAUCUUCGGUUGAGGUUUGAGUUGUUAAACCCUUAACCAAAUUCUGUAAUUGCUAUUUCACAUCUGCAAUGUCAUUUUGUAUGCUUGAAUCCGCCACUGAAUUGAUACUUCUAGAAGCCUGCUGAUCAUUACGAAUUUGCCUAAUUCCUCAUUGUUAAGGGAACUUAAUAACAUGAUAUAAAUUAGAUGGAACAAAAUCCAUCUCGUGAAUCCAAGGUCUGCCGAGGAUAAUAUUAUACGCCAUAUCCAUAUUUAUUACUUAAAAUUUCAUAUUUUUAACUACUCAUUCUGCGAAUGUGGUGAGUAUUAUCUUCCUUUUUGUGACAACACUUAAAUUGUCAAAUCCAGAUAAGGUACAUGCUUUGGGUAUUAAUUUUUCAUCAACUUGCAUCUCGUUUACUACUCUUAAAAGAAUGAUAUUUACAGAGCUACCUGGAUCAAUUAAAACUCGUUUCACAUUAGUAUCAUAUACAAGUAAAGAUAUUACUAGUGCAUCAUUGUAUGGGAUCAACACGCCAUCUAUGUCUGCAUCAUCAAAUGUUAUUCUAUCUUCUUCUAAAACUUGGAAAACUCGUUUCUCGUGGGUGACUGUGAUUUUUGACACAUGUUUUGCAGCCGUAUAUGUCAUGCCAUUGACCUCCCCCCCUUCACUUAUGACAUUAACUUUUCUUUUUGGUGACGGAGGUUUUGGUGGCUCCUGUCUAUUCUUCAUAUAUGCUUGCUUACCCUUCUAACUAAACAAAUCAGUUAAGUAGCCUUGUUUUAAUAAGUGCUCUACUUCACCUUGUAGCAAUCUCCAAUCUGUUGUUUUGUGAUCGUGAUCAUAAUGAAAAUCACACUAGAAAUCAGGGUUUCUUCUAUUUGGGUGCGAUCUCAUUUCCUUUGGCCACCGCACCUUAUCUCCCAUGCUUCUUAAAACAGCUACCAACUCAAAUGUGCUAACAUUGAAACUGUAGCCACCAAUCUUUGCUUUUGAACUUCUACCGUUGUCCUGCAUAUCUCGCGUGUCUCGCUCAUUUCCAAACAUGGACGACGAACCCGAAUCUCUGUCUCUUAUUCUGGAAUUGUACCUCGGGUUCUCUUAUUUUGAAUGUGAAUCCCUUCCUGCUAGUCCCAUGUAAGGUUCAUACCUGUUCUUACCAGACCUUUUUUCAGUUUUUGGUCGCCUCAAACUUACUCUUUCAUCUCCCCAGGACUUAGUGAUAGUAUCUUCUUCUAUCUGUAGCUUCGUGCUAUACCUGUUGUAAACAUCAUUCCAAGUUGUUGCAUUGAAUUCUCGUAAGCUUUCUUUGAGUCUCCUUGUAGCUUCUGAGCUUUUUUCAUUUAGAUUACUUGCAAAUGCCAUAGUCGCCCAAUUAUUAGGUACACAUGGUAAUAUCAUUUUUUCAUGCUGAAAUCUAUCUACGAAUUCCCUGAGUAGCUCAGUAUCACCUUGUUUUAUUUUGAAGAUGUCUUCCAUCCUCUUUUCAACUUUUUAACCUCCCGAGUGUGCUUUUAUAAAUGAAUCUGCAAGCUUAGCAAAGAAUCAAUAGAAUUUUCAGGUAAAAGAGAAUACCAUGUUAGUACUCCCUUUGUGAGUGUUUCACCAAAUGUUUGACUAGAACCGAUUCAAUCUCUUGCUUGGUCAAGUCAUUGCCCUUCACGCCAGUUGUAUAUGCAGUUAAAUGAUCUCGUGGAUCGGUUUUCCCAUCAUACUUUGGGAUAUCGGGCAUCUUAAACUUUUUUGGAAUAGGCAAAGGAGCGGCACUUGGCUUCCAGGGUUGUUGAGAAUAUUUAUUCAUAUCCACUCCUUUGAUUAUAGGUGGAACACUAGGUAUUUGAUCUAUGUGAUCGUUCUGCUCCUUGAGAUGUUUCUGUAAAGUUAGUACUAAACUUUGUAAAUCAAAAUUAAUUGGGAUACCUGACCCUCUAUCGCGAGAUUCACUGGGAGUUCCUCCGUUGCCUAAAUUAGUGAGUCCUGAAUGUGGAUACUCUAUGGUUGCGGUGUUGUUUGUAUGCAGAGUUGGUGGUACAGUUGGUAAUCCGCUACUGAAAGCUUGAAGAGCAUUGUUCACAUGUUCUACAAUUAGUUGCUUCAAUGCAUCAUCAACAUUUUGUCUUGUUGAUUAUUCACAUGUGAUGUUGAUCUGUCAGGUGAGUUGUCUCAGGAGUGUCGAGGCAAAUUUUGAGGCAAUGGGAUUGGGGUGGCAUUUUCUUGUUGAUUUUGUUGGUUCAGCUGGUCUUGCUGGUUUUAUUGGUUUUGUAGGUUUCGUUGGUUGUUGUUGUUAACAUUUGACAUUAUUUUUUGACAGAAAAAUGAAUUUGGAAAGUGAAAAGAUUAUUAAUUUCCUUGUAACAGAACUAAUUUGUUUAACCAAAAAUAGGAAUUUCGGUCAAA
rnacentral:lncRNA from 1 species